rnacentral:misc_RNA from 1 species
AAUUGAAAUAAUAUUUAGUUUAAUUUUAGUUAAUCUUAGCUUAAGUUGUUUUAAUUUGUUUCAUUUAAAUUAAAUCGAUGAUCUAAAUAUUAGGAAAAUUAAAAUACAUCUUAUAAUUGAAAACAAUUCUAUGAACAUGAUAUUUUACUUAUUCAAUAUUAUUUGUGUGAUUUCGUAUAUUUAUGGACGCGUAUUAAUUAAACUUUCACGCUGAUAACAAUUUUCGCUAACUAUCCUAAUGUUCCAAAAGAAAGGUGGUAAAUGACUCAUUGUCAAAUAGCAGGUGACAGAAGAAUAUUAGAAUUGCACAAUACACAGCCACCUUUGAACCAAAAAAAAAAGAAAAGCUCUUCAUUUGCUAGCAGAUUUUGAAGCCCGUGUCUUUAUGGGAACUAUAAUGUAAGCAAAAUGUUUCUCUUGGAGGUAGGGAUUCUUUGACUCCAACUAUUUCACUCAGCUUUCCCACCCAUUUCCAUAAAACUGGAAAUUUCUCUUCA